rnacentral:rRNA from 1 species
UGGGGAAUAUUGGACAAUGGGGGGAACCCUGAGCCAGCCAUGCCGCGUGUGUGAAGAAGGCCUGAUGGUUGUAAAGCACUUUAAGCGAGGAGGAGGGUACUGGUAUUAAUACUACCAGGUACUGGACGUUACUCGCAGAAUAAGCACCGGCUAACUCUGUGCCAGCAGCCGCGGUAAUACAGAGGGUGCGAGCGUUAAUCGGAUUUACUGGGCGUAAAGCGUGCGUAGGCGGCUAAUUGAGUCGGAUGUGAAAUACCCGAGCUUAACUUGGGAAUUGCAUUCGCUACUGGUUAGCUAGAGUGUGGGAGAGGAUGGUAGAAUUCCAGGUGUAGCGGUGAAAUGCGUAGAGAUCUGGAGGAAUACCGAUGGCGAAGGCAGCCAUCUGGCCUAACACUGACGCUGAGGUACGAAAGAAUGGGGAGCAAACAGG